rnacentral:rRNA from 1 species
UACAGAGGUCUCAAGCGUUGUUCGGAUUCAUUGGGCGUAAAGGGUGCGUAGGCGGCGCGGUAAGUCGGGUGUGAAAUUCGAUGGCUUAACUUCGAAACUGCAUUCGAUACUGCCGUGCUUGAGGACUGGAGAGGAGACUGGAAUUUACGGUGUAGCGGUGAAAUGCGUAGAUAUCGUAAGGAAGACCAGUGGCGAAGGCGGGUCUCUGGACAGUUCCUGACGCUGAGGCACGAAGGCCAGGGGAGCAAACGGG